AUGGUUCUACAGGCUGUAAAAAAAAAGCACAGUAGCUUGGGGAAUUGUAAGUAAGGCAUCAUUGUAUUUUGCAAAGUGAGAAGGAUGUGAGAUUUGUGGGGCAGGGACAGAAUAAUAAGAUUUGGCUGUGUGUCCCUAUGGAAACUCAUAUGGAAUUGUAAUCAGAAAAGUUAAAAGUGGGGCCAGGUAGAAGGUGAUUUAAUCGUGGAGGGCACUGGGUAUUGGAAGGUGGGGAUUGGGGAGAAUGGGUGGAUUAUGGUGGGGGUGAGGGGUGAAAAGUGGGGGUGGGGGAGGAUCCUUCACAAACGGUUAAACACCAUCUCCUUAAUUCUUUCUUCAUGAUGGUGAGUUCUCGUGAUGGUUUUGGAGCAGUGAGAUUGAAUGGAUAGUGGUCUCCUGGGUUUUGGACUUGCAUUGGCCCUGUGAUCCAAUUUGUGUUAUUUUCCUGGCAAACCUCUUCCCUUUGGAUUGAGAAAACUUACCCAAUGCCUGUACCAUCUUUGUACCUUGAAAGAAAAUAAAUCCCUUUUAAAUUCAGGAACUUAUAGGCAAAAGGGACUGUAGCCUUUUCUCAGGUGAGACGUUGAACUUUUUACAUUUGACUUAAUGCUGCAAUGACUUAAGACUUUCGACAACUUUUGAAAAGGCCUGAUUGUAUUUUACUCUGUGAGAAGGAUAUGAUAUUCGGGGGAUCAGGGUCAGAAUAAUAUGGUUUAGCUGUGUGUCCCUACCUAAACUCACAUGUAAUUGUAAUCCCGAAUUUUGCAUGUGGGGCCUUGUGGGAGGUGAUUUAUUCAUGAAUGGGAGAGGGGUUGGAUUGGACGUAAAAACAGGUGGGUAAAGUGGGGAGGAGUAGGCUGGCUGUAGGGUGGUGUGUAGCAGGAUGGGAGUAGCCUGCCACAGAGGCAGAGGCUCAUGGAAAAACUCUACUAAGGCAGUGCACCUGGGGCUUUGCAGGGUUUAGCACCUGUAGCUGCUCUCAUGGGCUGGGCUGGUGUUGAGUGCCUGUAGCUUUUCCGUACAUGGGGUGUGAGCUGUUGAUGGAUCUAUGGGUCUGGGGUCUGGAGGAUGGUGGUAUCCUCCAUGGGGGCUCCAAGCCCAUAGUUUU
rnacentral:lncRNA from 10 species